rnacentral:rRNA from 1 species
GGGGGGAGCAAGCGUUGUUCGGAUUUACUGGGCGUAAAGGGCGCGUAGGCGGCCUCCGCAAGUCAGUUGUGAAAUCUCCGAGCUUAACUCGGAAAGGUCAACUGAUACUGCGGGGCUAGAGUGCGGAAGGGGCAACUGGAAUUCUUGGUGUAGCGGUGAAAUGCGUAGAUAUCAAGAGGAACACCUGCGGCGAAGGCGGGUUGCUGGGCCGACACUGACGCUGAGGCGCGAAAGCUAGGGGAGCGAACGGGAUUAGAUACCCCGGUAGUCCUAGCCUUAAACGAUGAAUGCUUGGUGUCKGGGGUUAUAUAGUCCCCGGGUGCCGUCGCUAACGCUUUAAGCAUUCCGCCUGGGGAGUACGGUCGCAAGACUG